GGUGGAAGCAUAAGCAUACUGGAAAUUAAAAUAUCUGAGUUCCACUGCUGAGUUUGUCACUUACUCUUAGAGUUAGCUACCCUGGCCAAAUCAUUUUGGGGCUCUGGACCUGUUUCUUCACCUGUAAAAUGAGAAGGCUAGAAUGCUGAUUAGUUGAAAAAACCAUAAUGAUCCUAGACAAGAGAGAAUUUUCCUUGGGAAACAUAUAAUGAACUAUACCUUACUCCUUUCAGUGAGGUACUACCUGGGCAUAAUAGUGUAUACACCAUCACAUCUGGCACAUUGAUUUUGCUUAACUGGUUUUCUGUUUGUUGUUUGUUACAGGUGAAGAAUUGAUUGGGGUAGAAGAAGGAGAUAUUUCCAGAAAUGACUGCUAUGAAAACAAAAGGCAUCACUAAAACAUGGCACAGCGCCAUGAAGCAUGCUUGGAUUUGCCCAUUCUGCCUCAGGCGGCAGCCCCGGAAGCUCAAGGGAAAAUUUUCAAGUGAUUAUGUGGAAGUGGUACCUGGACAAAAAGAAGAUGGAUUACCAGGUGUGGCGACUCUCUCCCAGACUUUCUUGUAAGCUGAUGCCCGGAGGCCCUCAGGAGGAGAAUUGGAUGAGGCGCCUGAGCUCCCCCCAAAAGGAAGGGGGGAGGCUUACAUUAGCUGAGCCACCUGGCUAGAUUCUGGAUAAGACACCGGUAUAAAAAAUUUACCAGCUGGAACUCAAAAAUGUGAAAAUUUUCCAUUUGGAACCAGAUUUUUGAUGUCUCUUCAGGGAGGGGAAGCGUAUAGAAUAGUGUCAUAAAUAAUUUAAAAUGUUAGGAUUAGCCAUUUUAUUUCACUAAAUAUGAUCUAACUCCAUAAUUUAAUUUAGCAAAAAGGAUGAAUGGGAGUUUGGAGAAACAUGGAAAGAUGGAUAGAGUGGAAAAGAAAAAUUACAUUUCAUUCAUUUCAUUAGAAAGGGGCUUGGCUCUGGAGUGGAGAGGACCUGGAUUUCAAUCCACCUUUAAUGCUUGCAUGCGUACCUGUGUGAGGUUGGACAAGUUACUUUGCUUUCCUGUGCCUCAGUUUUGGCAUAUAUAAAAUGAAGGCAUUGGACUAGAUGGCUUGUUGAGGUCCUUUCCUAACCUAUAAAUAAACAUCUAUUAAAUAUCUACUACA
rnacentral:lncRNA from 1 species